AAUCUUCCACAAUGGGCGAAAGCCUGAUCGAGCAACGCCGCGUGAGUGAAGAAGGUUUUCGGAUCGUAAAACUCUGUUGUAAGGGAAGAACAAGUACAGAAGUAACUGGCUGUACCUUGAUGGUUCCUUAUUAGAAAGCCACGGCUAACUACGUGCCCGCGGCCGCGGUAAAACGUAGGUGGCAAGCGUUGUCCGGAAUUAUUGGGCGUAAAGCGCGCGCAGGCGGUACUUUAAGUCUGAUGUGAAAGCCCACGGCUCAACCGAGGAGGGUCAUUGGAAACUGGGGGACUUGAGUGCAGAAGAGGAGAGUGGAAUUCAAAGUGUAGCGGUGAAAUGCGUAGAGAUUUGGAGGAACACCAGUGGCGAAGGCGACUUGCUGGCCUGUAACUGACGCUGAGGCGCGAAAGCGUGGGGAGCAAACAGG
rnacentral:rRNA from 1 species